rnacentral:rRNA from 1 species
UACGUAGGGGGCAAGCGUUGUCCGGAAUCAUUGGGCGUAAAGAGCGCGUAGGCGGCCCGAUAAGUCCGCUGUGAAAGUCAAGGGCUCAACCCUUGAAUGCCGGUGGAUACUGUCGGGCUAGAGUCCGGAAGAGGCGAGUGGAAUUCCUGGUGUAGCGGUGAAAUGCGCAGAUAUCGGGAGGAACACCUAUGGCGAAGGCAGCUCGCUGGGACGUUACUGACGCUGAGACGCGAAAGCGUGGGGAGCAAACAGG